rnacentral:RNase_P_RNA from 1 species
CCAGCCGGCCGGGCGGCCGCGUCACCUUCGGGUGCCGAGGAAAGUCCGGGCUCCACGGAGACAGGAGCAAAGUCGAAUAGGGACGGCAUCCUUUUAGGAAAGCCCUGUCUUCGGGCCGCCGUCCGGGUUGACUGCUAGAGGCGCCGAGCAAUCGGCGUCCCAGAUGAAUGGUCGCCACGCGGGCGCAAGCCCGCCGUACAGAACCCGGCUUACAGGCCGGCUGGUAUU